UCUUAAUGAACUACUUUUCACCUGCUUGAAGUGGAACCGCCUACUAGGAGCAUCAAGGGGUUCUUCCUCAACGACGAUAUAAGACAAUACGCAACUAACUUCAGACACCCACUGACCGCCAUUCACAGUGGAACUAUAAACACCUUCACCGACUCAGUCUCAGUUAAUGACGUACUUGGAGUCAAACCACCACCCAAUUCAAACGACGAGAUCGAGAAUCGACUGUGACCCUUGCGCAGCUUCCUUGUGGAUACUGUAACAGGUUAAAGUUAUCCAAAAUCGACUCCGAUAUAUUAAACUUAUGUCUAGCAUGCAAUAAGUCCUCUCUCUAUGGUCCGACCCCGUGAAAGCAGCACGUUUUCUGUGCCUACUUACGACCUCGACCAUCUGGUCAAAUUUGACACGGACUGACAAAAAAAAACAAAUAUUUUUACGUAGUCCAAUUUUCCAUACAGUUGUUAUAAGUCGCGACUGGGUUGGUCCUAAGUGCCUUCAGCGAAUCUUGUUCUUUUCCGGCAUCGUCUGAUUUUUGGAGCGCUAUUCGGUUGAGUUCUGAAUAGUUUCGAAGUCAUAUUCAUAAACCCAGAUCUCUUUACCACUAAUUAUGCGUUUGGUGAAUAUACGAUCCUUGCUACAUUUUCUUGCACCGUUAUAUCGACAUCUACUCUACUUUUGGUACGAGUCAAAACUCUUGCAAAAUUUCAACGAUUCUGUAGCCCUACUUCCAUUGGGAAAUUUUCAAACAACUCGAUUAUUUUUCCAUGGUAGAAAUAGCCAAACAAACUUUUCCCAUCGUAAACAAAAAUCUGCCAUUCGCAGAUUCUAAUCAACUGUACCAUCAUUUUUUGGAAAGACUGUUUCAGUGUAAGCUUACAAUUAUUGUAGUGUGAACGAUAUAUUUCACCGUUCGAAUGACAAAUUGAAUCGAAUGUAAUGAUUUUCUAAACUUUUCUCCGAACUUUUAUUUUAAAUCCGAUUUGUUCCGAUUUCGAGCUUUUCCGAUUUGUUGCUUUCUAUUUCGAAAACUGUAAAAAGAUAUACACAUACCUUGGGACCACCCUAACACAUAAUGGUAUUAACCUAAAAGACAAUGUUUUUGUAGUAUUUCCGCAAACAAAGUUCACUGCUUCAACCAACACACUCACUUACAGAUUAUACAUUCAAGUCUAGACAUUAAAACAUCAGUGCCGAAGCUGCACACAAAAGAGAAUGUCAAAAUAGUAUUUACAACAAUUAACCGCAUAAACAAAAAUUUUGCACUCUCAUCAUUAGUAAGCAAUUAAAAGCUGUUACUCACGCGAAGAAAGACUGAUCUUUCUUUCAUUCAAUUAAGCCGAGGCUCUGACUUACCUUCAAGUCCACACUAUUCGUCAAAGUUUCAUGACGUGUUAACGGCAGAUCUCUGUAACGUGCCGGUGGACUUUUAUCGGGAAAAUGGCUUAACACAGUAACAUCAUGACCUUUCUCGGCCAAGCCCCUCAUAAUGGGGUGGAAGAAGUGGAAGUGACUAAUGCCUGGGUGUGGAAAUAAACCUAGUAUUUUGAGUGGGUAACUGGCUUGCACCAGUGUGCAACAAAGGCCAAGCAACAGCAACAAGUGGCCGGUCGUUAGUCCCGCCAUCCCU